rnacentral:rRNA from 1 species
UACGUAGGGUGCAAGCGUUAAUCGGAAUUACUGGGCGUAAAGCGUGCGCAGGCGGUUUUGUAAGACUGUCGUGAAAUCCCCGGGCUUAACCUGGGAAUGGCCUAUGUGACUGGCAGGCUAGAGGAUGGCAGAGGGAGGCGGAAUUCCACGUGUAGCAGUGAAAUGCGUAGAGAUGUGGAGGAACACCGAUGGCGUAGGCAGCCUCCUGGGCCAAUUCUGACGCUCAGGCACGAAAGCGUGGGGAUCAAACAGG